rnacentral:rRNA from 1 species
UACAGAGGGUGCGAGCGUUAAUCGGAAUUACUGGGCGUAAAGCGCGCGUAGGCGGUUUUGUAAGUCGGAUGUGAAAGCCCCGGGCUUAACCUGGGAACUGCAUUCGAGACUGCAUGACUGGAGUAUUGGAGAGGGCAGUGGAAUUUCCGGUGUAGCGGUGAAAUGCGUAGAUAUCGGAAGGAACACCGGUGGCGAAAGCGGCGCGCUGGACCCCUUCUGACGCUGAGGCGCGAAAGCCAGGGGAGCAAACGGG